rnacentral:rRNA from 1 species
GAUGAACGCUGGCGGCGUGCCUGAUACAUGCAAGUCGAGCGAAUGGAUUAAGAGCUUGCUCUUAUGAAGUUAGCGGCGGACGGGUGAGUAACCCGUGGGUAACCUGCCCAUAAGACUGGGAUAACUCCGGGAAACCGGGGCUAAUACCGGAUAACAUUUUGAACCGCAUGGUUCGAAAUUGAAAGGCGGCUUCGGCUGUCACUUAUGGAUGGACCCGCGUCGCAUUAGCUCGCUGGUGAGGUAACGGCUCACCAAGGCAACGAUGCGUAGCCGACCUGAGAGGGUGAACGGCCACACUGGGACUGAGACACGGCCCAGACUCCUACGGGAGGCAGCAGUAGGGAAUCUUCCGCAAUGGACGAAAGUCUGACGUAGCAACGCCGCGUGAGUGAUGAAAGCUUUCGGGUCGUAAAACUCUGUUGUUAGGGAAGAACAAGUGCUAGUUGAAUAAGCUGGCACCUUGACGGUACCUAACCAGAAAGCCACGGCUAACUACGUGCCAGCCGCCGCAGUAA